GAGGGCUUAGUUUAAUUAAAAUGGUUGAUUUG
rnacentral:tRNA from 1 species